rnacentral:rRNA from 1 species
GAUGAACGCUGGCGGCGUGCCUAAUACAUGCAAGUCGAGCGAACAGACGAGGAGCUUGCUCCUCUGACGUUAGCGGCGGACGGGUGAGUAACACGUGGAUAACCUACCUAUAAGACUGGGAUAACUUCGGGAAACCGGAGCUAAUACCGGAUAAUAUAUUGAACCGCAUGGUUCAAUAGUGAAAGACGGUUUUGCUGUCACUUAUAGAUGGAUCCGCGCCGCAUUAGCUAGUUGGUAAGGUAACGGCUUACCAAGGCAACGAUACGUAGCCGACCUGAGAGGGUGAUCGGCCACACUGGAACUGAGACACGGUCCAGACUCCUACGGGAGGCAGCAGUAGGGAAUCUUCCGCAAAGGGCGAAAGCCUGACGGAGCAACGCCGCGUGAGUGAUGAAGGUCUUCGGAUCGUAAAACUCUGUUAUUAGGGAAGAACAAAUGUGUAAGUAACUAUGCACGUCUUGACGGUACCUAAUCAGAAAGCCACGGCUAACUACGUG